rnacentral:rRNA from 1 species
UACAGAGGUCUCAAGCGUUGUUCGGAUUCAUUGGGCGUAAAGGGUGCGCAGGCGGCGAGGCAAGUCGGACGUGAAAUCUCGGGGCUUAACUGGGAGGGUGCGCCGGAAACUGGAGUGCUCGAGCGUGGGAGAGGAAAGCGGAAUUCCUGGUGUAGCGGUGAAAUGCGUAGAUAUCAGGAGGAACACCUGCGGUGUAGACGGCUUUCUGGACCAUUGCUGACGCUGAGACACGAAAGCGUGGGUAGCAAACAGG